AGUGAACGCUGGCGGUAGGCCUAACACAUGCAAGUCGAACGGCAGCACAGUAAGAGCUUGCUCUUACGGGUGGCGAGUGGCGGACGGGUGAGGAAUACAUCGGAAUCUACUUUUUCGUGGGGGAUAACGUAGGGAAACUUACGCUAAUACCGCAUACGACCUACGGGUGAAAGCAGGGGAUCUUCGGACCUUGCGCGAUUGAAUGAGCCGAUGUCGGAUUAGCUAGUUGGCGGGGUAAAGGCCCACCAAGGCGACGAUCCGUAGCUGGUCUGAGAGGAUGGUCAGCCACACUGGAACUGGGACACGGUCCAGAGUCCUACGGGAGGCAGCAGUGGGGAAUAUUGGACAAUGGGCGCAAGCCUGAUCCAGCCAGACCGCGUGGGUGAAGAAGGCCUUCGGGUUGUAAAGCCCUUUUGUUGGGAAAGAAAAGCAGCAGGUUAAUACCCCGCUGUUCUGACGGUACCCAAAGAAUAAGCACCGGCCAACUUCGUG
rnacentral:rRNA from 1 species